rnacentral:rRNA from 1 species
AUACACCUGUUCCCAUGCCGAACACAGAAGUUAAGCUUCAGCACGCCAAAAGUAGUUGGGGGAUCGCCCCCUGCGAGGAUAGGACGUUGCCACGC